GUACUUACCUGGAAGGGGCGAUUCCAUGACCCCCAGGGUGAAGCUCUGGAUGGCCUGUCCCCUGCAGUUUCUCCAAAAGUGGGAAACUCCACUGCAUAACUUGUGGUACUUGGGGUCUGUGUUCAUGCUCUUCCCUG
rnacentral:snRNA from 1 species